rnacentral:tRNA from 1 species
GCGCGAUUAGUUUAAUGGCAGAACUAUUGGUUUCCAACCAAUUAGCACGGGUUCGAUUCCCGUAUCGCGCA